GGACGAGCGGGCUGGCCACGCCGUAAAACCCCCCACUUCUCAAGGUUGACCUCAGAUCAGGUAGGAAUACCCGCUGAACUUAAGCAUAUCAAUAAGCGGAGGAAAAGAAACCAACAGGGAUUGCCCUAGUAACGGCGAGUGAAGCGGCAACAGCUCAAAUUUGAAAUCUGGCCUUGUGCCCGAGUUGUAAUUUGUAGAGGAUGCUUUUGGCGACGCGCCUUCCGAGUUCCCUGGAACGGGACGCCAUAGAGGGUGAGAGCCCCGUCCGGUCGUGCGCCUAGCCUCUGUAAAGCUCCUUCGACGAGUCGAGUAGUUUGGGAAUGCUGCUCUAAAUGGGAGGUAUACGUCUUCUAAAGCUAAAUACCGGCCAGAGACCGAUAGCGCACAAGUAGAGUGAUCGAAAGAUGAAAAGCACUUUGAAAAGAGGGUUAAAUAGUACGUGAAAUUGCUGAAAGGGAAGCGCUUAUGACCAGACUUGGGCGCGGCGGAUCAUCCGGCGUUCUCGCCGGUGCACUCCACCGCCCCAGGCCAGCAUCAGUUCGCGCCGGGGGAUAAAGGCGUCGGGAAUGUGGCUCCCUCGGGAGUGUUAUAGCCCGGCGCGCAAUACCCUGGUGCGG
rnacentral:rRNA from 1 species